rnacentral:rRNA from 1 species
CUAAGCGGGAAGCCCACCUCAAGAUUAGAUUUCCCUAAAGAGCCGUUCAAGACUAGGACGUUGAUAGGCAGGGUGUGGAAGCGCAGCGAUGCGUGUAGCUAACCUGUACUAAUUGCUCGUUUGGCUUGACCAU